UACGAAGGGGGCUAGCGUUGCUCGGAAUUACUGGGCGUAAAGGGCGCGUAGGCGGCUUGGUUAGUCAGGCGUGAAAUUCCCGGGCUUAACCUGGGGACUGCGCUUGAUACUGCUGGGCUUGAGGGUGGAAGAGGGUCGUGGAAUUCCCAGUGUAGAGGUGAAAUUCGUAGAUAUUGGGAAGAACACCGGUGGCGAAGGCGGCGACCUGGUCCAUUACUGACGCUGAGGCGCGACAGCGUGGGGAGCAAACAGG
rnacentral:rRNA from 2 species